CCCCCAGAGCUUCUUCCGUCCUGGACCCUGGCAGCCCCGCCCCAAGGAGGAAGGACUCCUCGGGCAUGGGGGGUCUGCUGGAGAGGCCUGGUCGGGACCCACAGGAGCAUCUUCUGGAAGGCCACGAGGCUGACAACCUUCUGGCUACACCUGGCCUCCAGGCAAUGCGCAGAAACAGCCUCAGCAGCGACUUCCCAUCUCCUGGAGGACCUUGGAGGGUAGAGUCCAAGUUUGGGAAGCCGCCGGCCCCAAUCUAGCGCGCUGGGGAGGACGGGAAGGAGCUCGAGAGGCGUCCCCAGAGCCAACGCAGCCUGGGGUGACUUCAGGGAGAGUCAGUUCUCUGGACGUCCGUUCGCCAAGACUGGUUCUGCCCCUGGCCUGUCUGCUGGUAGUUCC